AGCAGCCGCGGUAAUUCCAGCUCCAAUAGCGUAUAUUAAAGUUGUUGCAGUUAAAAAGCUCGUAGUUGAAUUUCGGGAUCGAAUUGUUGGUCGUGCCUCGGUACGCACUGGCAUUAUCGGUUCCUACCUUCUGAAGAACCGCGAUGUCAUUAAUUUGGUGUCGUGGGGAAUCAGGACUGUUACUUUGAAAAAAUUAGAGUGUUUAAAGCAGGCUUACGCUUGAAUACAUUAGCAUGGAAUAAUGAAAUAGGACGUUUGAUUCUAUUUUGUUGGUUUCUAGGAUCGACGUAAUGAUUAAUAGGGAUAGUUGGGGGCAUUAGUAUUCAAUUGUCAGAGGUGAAAUUCUUGGAUUUAUUGAAGACUAACUACUGCGAAAGCAUUUGCCAAGGAUGUUUUCAUUAAUCAAGAACGAAAGUUAGGGGAUCGAAGACGAUCAGAUACCGUCGUAGUCUUAACCAUAAACUAUGCCGACUAGGGAUCGGAUGAUGUUAAUUUUAUAAUGACUC
rnacentral:rRNA from 1 species